rnacentral:rRNA from 1 species
UGGGGAAUUUUGGACAAUGGGCGAAAGCCUGAUCCAGCAAUGCCGCGUGCAGGAUGAAGGCCUUCGGGUUGUAAACUGCUUUUGUACGGAACGAAACGGCGAGCUCUAAUAAAGUUUGCUAAUGACGGUACCGUAAGAAUAAGCACCGGCUAACUACGUGCCAGCAGCCGCGGUAAUACGUAGGGUGCGAGCGUUAAUCGGAAUUACUGGGCGUAAAGCGUGCGCAGGCGGUUAUAUAAGACAGAUGUGAAAUCCCCGGGCUCAACCUGGGACCUGCAUUUGUGACUGUAUAGCUAGAGUACGGUAGAGGGGGAUGGAAUUCCGCGUGUAGCAGUGAAAUGCGUAGAUAUGCGGAGGAACACCGAUGGCGAAGGCAAUCCCCUGGACCUGUACUGACGCUCAUGCACGAAAGCGUGGGGAGCAAACAGGAUUAGAUACCCCCGUAGUCCCUGAGCGGGCUGGCAAGGCGCAU